rnacentral:rRNA from 1 species
CCUACGGGAGGCAGCAGUGAGGAAUAUUGGUCAAUGGGGGAAACCCUGAUGCAGCGACGCCGCGUGAGUGAAGAAGUAAUUCGUUAUGUAAAGCUCUAUCAGCAGGGAAGAAAAUGACGGUACCUGAGUCAGAAGCCCUGGCUAACGACGUGCCAGCAACCGCGGUAAUACGGAGGGGUAAAGCGAUAUCCGGAUUUACUGGGUGUAAAGGGAGCGUAGACGGCAGGGCAAGUCUGGAGUGAAAGGCGGUGGCUCAACCCGCGGACUGCUCUGGAGACUGUACGGCUGGAGUGCAGUAGAGGUAGGUAGAAUUCCUGGUGUAGCGGUGAAAUGCGGAGAUAUUAGGAGGAACACCAGUGGCGAAGGCGGCUUACUGGAC